rnacentral:tRNA from 1 species
GGAGAAGUGUCUGAGUGGCUUAAGGUUCCUGAUUGCUAAUUAGGUGUGCUUGAAAAAGCACCAAGGGUUCGAAUCCCUUCUUCUCCGCCA